YGRRAGAAMCASUAGACAUGAUACGCAGCUGUACGAGCUCGAUCACUAGUACGCGCAGUGUGCUGAUCGCUUAGAGUUGAUCUGCUCAGAACGACGCUGCGGCGUGCUACACAUGCAAGUCGAACGUGAUCCAGAGCUUGCUCUGUGAAAGUGGCGCACGGUGAGUAACGCGUGGAUAACCUACGUGUAUCCGGGAUAACAUCCGAAAGGGGUGCUAAUACCGGAUAAGCCCACGGGCUCUUUGGAGCUUGCGGGAAAAGGUGGCCUCUAUUUAUAAGCUACUGUAUCAGGAUGGGUCCGCGUACCAUUAGCUAGUUGGCGGUGUAACGGACCACCAAGGCGACGAUGGUUAGCUGGUCUGAGAGGAUGAUCAGCCACACUGGAACUGAGACACGGUCCAGACUCCUACGGGAGGCAGCAGUGGGGAAUUUUGCGCAAUGGGGGAAACCCUGACGCAGCAACGCCGCGUGAGUGAUGAAGGCCUUUGGGUCGUAAAGCUCUGUCAGAGGGGAAGAAAUGAUAUAGUGCUAAUACCACUUUAUCUUGACGGUACCCUCAAAGGAAGCACCGGCUAACUCCGUGCCAGCAGCCGCGGUAAUACAAGGGCSMMYYSWGMAARAUAUCCUAUCUACUACUGGCGGCCGCAUCAGUAC
rnacentral:rRNA from 1 species